rnacentral:rRNA from 2 species
CGAUGUCGGCUCAUCGCAUCCUGGGGCUGGAGAAGGUCCCAAGGGUUUGGCUGUUCGCCAAUUAAAGCGGUACGUGAGCUGGGUUUAGAACGUCGUGAGACAGUUCGGUCCCUAUCUGUUGUGGGCGCAGGAUACUUGAGGGACUCUGCUCUUAGUACGAGAGGACCGGAGUGGACGGACCUCUGGUGUACCAGUUGUCCUGCCAAGGGCAUAGCUGGGUAGCUAUGUCUGGUAAGGAUAAGCGCUGAAAGCAUCUAAGCGCGAAGCCCUCCCCAAGAUGAGGUAUCCCUCCCGCACUCAACUGAGCACAUUGGGAGAAGAAUAUGUUCUAUGUUAACGAUUAGUAAAAAGAGAGCAUAUUGGUGUUCGGAUGUGCCGAGUUGAGUGCGGGACGAAGGCGCCUUCGAGAUAAGGAGGUAGAUAGGCUGUAGGUGUAAGGUCAGCAAUGGCCUUAGCCGAACAGUACUAAUCCGCCGAGAGGCUUGAUCU